GGAAAAAGGUUCCGGCCUCAGCCGGCGCACCUGGCGGAGGAGGAACCUCGCGACGCGCUCUCGGGCAUCGGUUUCUCCCAGCAAAGCUUGGAGGGUUUAGCUGCGCGGAGAGCUCAGCGAGCUCUUCUGUGUCUGUUUGGGGCGUGUGGGCUCCGGGAGCGUGAGGACCGGGAAGCUAGGAGGCUCCUUCCCUUCUGGCGGCUCCCUCACUGAGACCGGGCGGUUUGGUUGCGGGGGAAGUGGAGACGAGCCACCCUUGACCUUUGACUGCAAGAACUCACCUUGAGCAGGAUAGAGGCACGUGGACGGUGACCCUCGGGAUGCAAUAAAUGCUGAGACAGAUCAGGUGUGCAAGGCACAGAGCUAGAGGCCAGAGGCCUUUCUUCUCCAACCUUCAGUCACCUCUUUUUAAAGUGAAGCCAGCAUCCUCCUCGGGGUUUACUGUGAAAAUUAAGUGAGCUGACGCGUGCUGUGUUUUGAUGUUGCUUGGCUCCUACAAACAUUGAGUGGGCCAGACACUGUUCUGAAAAAUACGCAGUCGACUUUUGAACAGCACAGGCUUGAACUGCAUGCGGCCACUAAUACUCGGACUUCCUUCUGCCUCUGCCAUCCCUAAGACAGCAAGACCCACCCCUCCUGCUCCUCAGCCUACUCGAUGUGAUGAUGAUGCAGAGAUUCAGAGAGUCUAAGCAACUUUUCUAAAUCAUCUAGCUGGAAUUCAGUAACUGAGCCAGGAUCUACCCCAGGUCUGUCUGACUCCAAAGCCUGUGUCUUCCAGCACACACUGCUGCUGCCUGGGCAGGAAUGUGGAUAUGAUGUCUGGAGCUCUAGCAACCAUAUCAGACCACAAGGAUGAAUGUACACCCCAGGAAUGGAAGAGAGGAAAGCCAGAAAAAGACUCGGUCCCUGAUGGCUGAAGAGCUACCAUACCUGCCCCUAGAUCUUCUAUUUCUGAUCAUCUUCUAUGCAAGGCCUGGAAUGUAAUCAUGGAUAGCCAUGGAUGAUCAGCUUUCAUCAUGUGGGCAUGGAACAAGAUGGAAGGAAGCUGGGGCCCUGAGUGACCUGUGGAGCAGAGGCCUUUGCCCACCCUGGGCUGCCUGAUUUCCCCUGGACUAUCAUGAGACAGAAGAAAAAGCUUCUAUCUUAUUUGAACCACUGUGUUUUGGGAACCUUGGACUAGAGCAGCCUAGCCUUCAUACACUAACAAGGUGUAUGUGUCUGCUCUUUGUUGCUUUUGUAGAUGGUUGUGUUAUAAGCCUGAAUGCAGAAGUUGUUCCCCAGACUACUGGAUUUGCUGCCUUUUAAAACAGGUUUAUUGAACUAUAAUUGACAUACAAUGAACUGCAUAUAGGUAAAGUGUACAAUUUGAUAAGUACACUUUUUGAGCAAAUCCACCCUUUGUUCUGGAAGAAGACACUCUAUAGUCUCAGGCUGUUUCUUUACCAACAUCAACAAGCUAGUCUUAAACAGAGGAACCUCAGUGCCUCACUUUCAAGACAAUCAAGAUUAUUUCCCAACAUUCCACUAGUAGAGGGUCAGAAACAGAGUUAAAAGUUCUCAGACUAGAGGUAGAAUUGAAACCCCAGCUGAGAAGUAUCAAGGUGCCCUCCUUCCCCAAAGCUACAUAUUCUUGUGUCAGGAUCUUACCAGGAAAUGGAAGGCACAUUUACACAGGGCAGCCCAAGAGACUGUUUCAAAGGAAACCAGCAAGAUGUGACAAAGCACCCCAAGACUAGCGACACUGGGAGACCUUCUCACUUGACUUAAAAGGCUGGGGCAGGAGAGUUACAGGACCCAGUAUUAGCUGUAGCCAAAGCCUGGGCAGGGCCACCUAACAUGAGCUGCACCCUUCUGUAGAGCAGCACAGACCUUGUGCAUCUGAGGCCCAGCAGGAUGGGGCCUUGCUCAUCCUUCCCUUGCAGUUCUUGCUAAUGCUUCCUGUUGCCUGAACCCAGCUGGAAGCCAGAGGGCAAGGGAAAUCAAUUGAGACAGAUAAUGGAGGUAAUCCCCUGGGCACAGGGCAGCAUGGCAGAGGUAAGGAGUCUGUCUAGAGCCACAAAGGAAGAGGACUGAGUCCAGAGGUGAAAGCAGUCACGUAUCCCCAAAGACACCUGCUACACAUUUGGGCUUUGAUUUAUCAAUGAGAAGGCUUGAGGGACAGUGGGAAAAAUGAUGAGGAGUCAUUAGGUCCUUGUGGAAAUGGUGCCCUUGAAGGAUGAGCCUGUAAUCACUAGGUACACGUGGGUGGAUGAAUGCUGGUGAAACAGGUGGAGGGAAUGAAAGGACAGAGGCAGCACGAGAACACUGUAAGCAGAGCAGAAGUCCAUGCAAAAGCCAGAGAUGUGAGACAGCACGGGUACAUAUAGGGACCCGCAGGUGGUCUGGAGUGGCUUUGCUGUGGGUUGUGAUGAGAUAUCCACUGUGUUGGAGCUCUGGAACAAAAAGGAGGUCAUCUAAGCUGGUUGCUUCUGUUUUUUUCUUUUCUUUUUUUUCCGGAUGCAUUUCAAUUAGGUGAGGGGUACCAGGCAGAAACCCCUCCUGAAUAUAAACCCUCUGUCUUAUUGUACCAGUUAAAGAUGAACGAUGGCUCACUUCCUAUUGGGUACUAAGUUCAUUAUUUGGGUGACAGGAUCAAUAGAAGCCCAAACCUCAGCAUCAUGCAAUAUACCCAUGUGACAAACCUGUAUCCCCUAAAUCUAAAAUAAUAAUAAAAAAAGAUGUACCAUAGCUCUUAAUUGCUCUUCAAAUCACCCACACCAUUAGAGAAAGCUAUUUCCACCCCAAUCUGAAUUAAAGAAUUCUACAAUCUCCUACAGUCCGAAAGAGAGACUUCAGCUAAAGAGAAAGCUGGUGCUCCUCUUGCUAGCUGAGUGAAUUCUGAUCCUCUUUUUCAUUUUUAUUUUCUUGCUUGAACUCUGCUUUGUUAAAUCAAACACCAGCCCAAAACUGAGCCCAUGGAUCACCAUAUUGGCAGCCUUAUCCUAGAAUCUCAGGGCUGGAAAGAACUCCGAGUACAGCAUUCUCCAGUGUUGGGUGUCAACAGGAGCAGAGUUGGUCUCUUUCGAGAGCUUCCUGGAGAGUCUAUAAAAGCCUGGCUUUUGAACUCUUAUAUUUGGAGGCUGAGAUUCAGAAGGCCUGGGGUGGGGCUUGAGAAUAUAAAUUCUUUAAAAAAAUUUUUUUCUUUUCCUUAGAUAAAUCUUAGAAACCAAAGGGAAUUGAAUUCUUAAGAGGACUUGAAAAUGAUUCUAAUAUAGUCGGGUUAGGGGAAAUCUGGUCUUGAGCUUUUUCUUGGGAGAUGUGGUGAGUCCAAGGCAAGCCAGGCUUCAAUUCUGAAUCUACACUCUUCCCACACAUCUAUGUGGCCUCUGUGCCGAGUCUGAGUUUUAUGUUUUACAAAGAAAACUAGGAGAAAAACUGUUAUUCUUCUGAUUAACAGAAAAGUUGUCCAACUGGCUACACUUGAAUUAUAUCCCCUGAUUAUUAAACUCAGGCUUCUUUAGUUUUCAUUUAUUUUAUUUCAUUGCAUGGAGAUGUUUUAAAAGAGGAAGGCAAGGGGUGUGGGGGAAGGAUUCUGGGAUAGCGACCAUUCUCACCACAUGCAGAAGGCCAAUACUGCUUCCAGAAGGAGACACAAGGAAUCCUUCACUGAGUGAAAGUUUUUUUUCUUCCAGAGAAUAUCAGUAUUCCUACUUUAUAACAAGCCAGGAGCUUUUUCUGCUUCCUGAUUUAAAAAUUGAUUCCUGACUGCAUAGUUCUCACACAAUAGCUUCCUUCUUGCAGGGGCAGUGUGAUUGCCUGGAAUAUAAAUUCUUAGUGGGUUGACCAGGGAUCACGAGCAGUUAUUAUGUUCUCUGCUGCUCUUAACAUGUUGUGAUUCUCAAUAAAUAAUCCAGAGCCAAAGCAUGGUGUUUUGUUUUGCUUUGUCUCAGUGAGUUUUCCAAACUGUAUUUACUAUCUCAAAGUGAGAGCAUCGCAGUUUUCUGAGCCAACUGCAGCAAUUUUCCAGAUCUGGAGAGUAUUUUUGAAGAUUAUUUCUUUGGAGAUUUUCUCUCUUAUUUGGUUUGUUUCCUCUUUGAUAAUUUUUAUUAUUCAUAUGUUGAAUUUUUUGAGCAGAGCUUUAAUUUUCUUAUCUUUUCUCCUCCUUUUUUCCAUUUUUUUCUUUGCCACUUUUCUCCCCCUUCUGGGAUAUUUUCUCAAAUUUUUUCUUCUAAACUUUUAUCUUUUCUGUGAUUAUAAUUUUAAAUUCCAAAAUACCUUUUUUUGGAGAGGGGAGUGGAGGGAAGUGUUCUCUGACUGUUCCUUUUAUAUAGUAGCCUGUUCUUAUUUCAUGGAUGUAAUAUCUUUCCUCUUUCUUUUAUAGUCUGUUUUCCCCAAGUUACUUUUUUCCCUUGUUUGUUUAUUUGUGUCUCUGUAUUUCAUCUCGGAGCAUUCCUUAGGUGUUUGGUGAUUUCCUCCUUCUCCCUCUCUCUGCUCCCUGCAUUGUUAUAAUUAUCUCUGAGCUGACCUCCCAACUUAGGUCUUUCUCAUUUUCUAGUAAACUUGGCAUAAUCCUGUGAAACCCAUCUUUUUUAAGCCCCCAAUUCAACAUGUGAUUCUGUUGGUGAAAAGCCUUCCAUGGCUCCAUAUUUCCCACUUCAUCAGAACUUAACUUUGCCAUUUUUGACAUUUUCAGUCUCUGACCCCACUCAGGCUAGGCACCAUACCUCUUGCCUCAGAAUGUGGAUACUCUUGUGUGUUCAGAGUUGGAGAUUAGGAAAUAAUACUAUUAAAAGUAAUAGCAAUCGAUGAUAAAGCCUUCAUAUGCUUUAUUCACAGACAUUACUGACUUCUCCUGUUAGCUCUGUCGUGCUUACAUCAUGAUGCCCAUUUUUCAGGUAAAGAAAUAGUGGCUCAAACAAG
rnacentral:lncRNA from 10 species